GUGCCGGAUUUUGGCGUAGACGAGGCGGCUUGCCGCGGGUGUGAAGCCCGGGGCUUACCCCGGGCUGCAUUCGAUACGGGCUAGCUAGAGUGUGGUAGGGGAGAUCGGAAUUCUGGUGUAGCGGUGAAAUGCGCAGAAUAUCAGGAGGAACACCGGUUGGCGGAAGGCGGAUCUCUGGGCCAAUUACUGACGCUGAGGACGAAAGCGUGGGGAGCGAACAGGAUUAGAUACCCUGGUAGUCCACGCCGUAACGGUGGGAACUAGGUGUUGGCGACAUUCCACGUCGUCGGUCCGCAGCUACGCAUUAGAUUCCCCGCCUGGGGAGUCGGCCGCAAGGCUAAAACCUCAAAGGAAUUGACGGGGGCCCGCACAAGCAGCGGAGCAUGUGGCUUAAUUCGACGCAACGCGAAGAACCUUACCAAGGCUUGACAUCGCCCGGAAAGCAUCAGAGAUGGUGCCCCCCUUGUGGUCGGGUGACAGGUGGUGCAUGGCUGUCGUCAGCUCGGUGUCGUGAGAUGUUGGGUUUAAGUCCCGCAACGAGCGCAACCCUUUGUCCUGUGUUUGCCAGCAAUGCCCUUUCGGGGUGAUGGGGACUCACAGGAGACCGCCGGGGUCAACUCGGAGGAAGGUGGGGACGACGUCAAGUCAUCAUGCCCCUUAUGUCUUGGGCUGCACACGUGCUACAAUGGCAGGUACAAUGAGCUGCGAAACCGUGAAGGUGGAGCGAAUCUCAAAAAGCCUGUCUCAGUUCGGAUUGGGGCCUGCAACUCGACCCCAUGAAGUCGGAGUUGCCUAGUAAUCGCAGAUCAGCAUUGCUGCGGUGAAUACGUUCCCGGGCCGUUGUACACACCGCCCGUCACGUCACGAAAGUCGGUAACACCCGAAGCCGGUGGCCCAACCCCUUGUGGGAGGGAGCUGUCGAAGGUGGGACUGGCGAUUGGGACGAAG
rnacentral:rRNA from 1 species